UGGAGUAUGUGGUUUAAUUCGAUGCAACGCGAAGACCUUACCUGGUCUUGACAUCCCGGAGACCCUUAGGAAACUAGGGGUGCUUCCAUCUGGAAGAAUCUGGAGACAGGUGCUGCAUGGCUGUCGUCAGCUCGUGUCGUGAGAUGUUGGGUUAAGUCCCGCAACGAGCGCAACCCUUGCCUUUAGUUGCCAGCAGUUCGGCUGGGCACUCUAAAGGGACUGCCGGUGUUAAACCGGAGGAAGUGGGGAUGACGUCAAGUCCUCAUGGCCUUUAUGACCAGGGCUACACACGUACUACAAUGGCCGAUACAAAGGGCAGCGACACUGCGAGGUGAAGCCAAUCCCGUAAAAUCGGUCUCAGUCCGGAUUGGAGUCUGCAACUCGACUCCAUGAAGUUGGAAUCGCUAGUAAUCGUGGAUCAGCAUGCCACGGUGAAUACGUUCCCGGGCCUU
rnacentral:rRNA from 1 species